CCCUAAAAGCUUUAUGUUAUGUGCAAAGUUAGUUUUAGUGUAUUGAUAGGAUUCUUUGUUGGUAAGUUAGCUGGGGUAGCUGUUCUAGGUAAAUUAGAGUGUUAUAUUAUACUUAAUGAAGGGUUUAUGGUCCUGUUUAUACGGAUAAUUAGAGUUAGUUACUUUAGGGAUAACAGCGCAAUAUUUUUGGGGAGAUCAUAUCUAUAUAGGUGAUUGCGACCUCGAUGUUGAAUUAAAAGUUCCCCGUGGGGCAGAGA
rnacentral:rRNA from 1 species